rnacentral:rRNA from 1 species
ACGGGAGGCAGCAGUGGGGAAUAUUGCACAAUGGGGGAAACCCUGAUGCAGCGACGCCGCGUGAGUGAAGAAGUAUUUCGGUAUGUAAAGCUCUAUCAGCAGGAAAGAAAAUGACGGUACCUGACUAAGAAGCUCCGGCUAACUACGUGCCAGCAGCCGCGGUAAUACGUAGGGGGCAAGCGUUAUCCGGAUUUACUGGGUGUAAAGGGAGCGUAGACGGCUUUGCAAGUCUGAAGUGAAAGCCCGGGGCUCAACCCCGGAACUGCUUUGGAAACUGUAGAGCUAGAGUUCAGGAGAGGUAAGUGGAAUUCCUAGUGUAGCGGUGAAAUGCGUAGAUAUUAGGAGGAACACCAGUGGCGAAGGCGGCUUACUGGACUGUAACUGACGUUGAGGCUCGAAGGCGUGGGGAGCAAACAGGAUUAGAUACCCUGGUA